rnacentral:rRNA from 1 species
AUCAACUUUCGAUGGUAGGAUAGAGGCCUACCAUGGUGUUAACGGGUAACGGGGUGUUAGGGCACGACACCGGAGAGGGAGCCUGAGAAACGGCUACCACAUCCAAGGAUGGCAGCAGGCGCGCAAAUUACCCAAUCCCGACACGGGGAGGUAGUGACAAUAAAUAACAAUACGGGGUUCUUUCGGAUCUCGUAAUUGGAAUGAGUACAAUUUAAAUCUCUUAACGAGGAACAAUUGGAGGGCAAGUCUGGUGCCAGCAGCCGCGGUAAUUCCAGCUCCAAUAGCGUAUAUUAAAGUUGUUGCAGUUAAAAAGCUCGUAGUUGAAUUUCGGGAUCAGUAGGUUGGUCAUGCCUAUGGUAUGCACUGGCUUUACUGGUUCCUCCUUCUUGAUGAUCUGUAAUGUCAUUAAUUUGGUGUUGCAGGGAGUCAGGACUGUUACUUUGAAAAAAUUAGAGUGUUUAAAGCAGGCAUACGCUUGAAUACAUUAGCAUGGAAUAAUGAAAUAGGACGUUCGAACCUAUUUUGUUGGUUUCUAGGAUUGACGUAAUGAUUAAUAGGGAUAGUUGGGGGCAUUAGUAUUCAAUUGUCAGAGGUGAAAUUCUUGGAUUUAUUGAAGACUAACUACUGCGAAAGCAUUUGCCAAGGAUGUUUUCAUUAAUCAAGAACGAAAGUUAGGGGAUCGAAGACGAUCAGAUACCGUCGUAGUCUUAACCAUAAACUAUGCCGACUAGGGAUCGGAUGAUGUUAUUUUUAAUGACUCAUUCGGCGCCUUACGGGAAACCAAAGUGUUUGGGUUC